CCUAUCUGUGGUACACAGUACGUACGUUCUUAUUUCAAAAAACAAUUAACUCUUUGUCUUGUCUCCUUUUAAACAUAAUUAAAGUUGUGUUAAAAUUAGUUUUUGAAAGUGCUGAAGAUCAAAAGUUUGUUCGUACAUAGGGCGUUGCGCUAAUGUUAUAAUGUUUUAAUGAAUUUCUUGAUUCAGAAAAGUUGUCAUCGAUAGUUUUUGACGUGUGAAUAAGUUGAGUGAUAAGAAACAAAAAUGCAGAAUUCAACAUUAAAAGAAAAGGAAAGAGUGGCAACAGUUACUAUUUCUCCGAAUUUACUGAAAAAUUUCAACGUCUACGACAUUUUGGAACCGGUAAAAAAUGACGUAACUAGUGACGCGGCUAAGGUCGAUAAAUUAAUCGAUGUCGAUGAUUCUUCUCGAGAUUCCGGAUUCCAAGAUGCCGAUAUAAACGCCUCGUUUUUGGACAAUAAAAAGGAAUUCAAUUUAGUCGAUUUAUUCCAAAACAUUUUCGUUACACCACAACAUAUUAAGAAAAAAGAAACGAACGAUGACCUUGGUGCUACGUUUUCGGAGGAAAAAGUCGUUGAUCCAGGUUAUAACAAGUUUUUUGAUAUGUUGGAAUCUGGACAAAAGAUUGACUGGACAAAUAUUUCGACGAAAGAAAAAUCUGUGUUGAAACAUAAUUUUGUUCAAGAAAAACCUAAAGUUUUAGUACCUAAAGUGAAUCUAAGUGAGUCGGAUUCGGACCCAGAGGAAUUGAUACACGAAGUUUUGACCAAUAAGAUUAAGGAAAAGGUACUUCUUGGCAGCGUCAGUGACUCGUACGAUUUGCAAACGAAAAUCGACCGUAAUAUACCAAAAAUUGAUGUCAAAAUGCCAAAAAUCAUUAAAACUCCAGAUUUGAUCCCUGAAUUUUCUCAUCGCUCGGAAAAUUGUUCCAGUAAGGGCGCCAAAUUGGAGAAUGUUAACAAUGAGAAUGUACCGCAAGCUUCAGGGGUUGAUACAAGGAGAAGAUCAGAAAGACUUCUACAGAAAAAUCUUGAAAGACAAAACAAAGUCUACACAACAGAUUUCGUCGUAAAAGCUAUGCAGAAAGAUGAAAAAACGUACAGAAAGAAGCGACUACAAAAACCUGAGCAUUUAAAAGCAAAUUACACUAAAGGACCAGAUUUUUAUGAAAAAACAAUUGUCUUACCUCAAAUAAUGGCCCGAUUGAACGCGAAACUUGCUGAAUUAGAUGAGAAAAGUACUCAAAAACGGAAAUUGAUUUUAGACGUAGGCACUGUUCCAAAUUCUGACUAUAGUCCAAAAAAAGAAGUGAAGGAUAUAAAAACGAAACUAAAUUAUUUGCCUGAAACCGCAAAAUAUCAGCCAGAAGCAGCGAAAAAGACACUAAACUUGGAAAUGAAUAACAAAAAACCUCAAAACCAAGGUUUGCAGUCGAUUAAAACUGUCAAAGUUACUCAAAAAGAAGCUCAAAUGUGCGUUAAUAAAACAAAUAAUAACAUUGCUGUUCAUUCAACAGUCGGACAGUGCUUAAAUUGCAGUAAACCGAAGAAAACCGACAAUUCUAACGACAAAAAAUCUUCUAUUAAUAAUUUUGGUGAAUUAAAUCCUGUGGUUUUAAUGGAAGAUUGUAAAAAAGAAAGGCUCAGAGCUCUAAAACAGAGCAAAAUGUUCAAAGAUUUUAUCGUGAAUGGGAAAUAUGGCGGUUAAACUUGAUAAGGUGAGAAUGAAAGAAAAACUUUACUAAAUAGGGAUGAUGACUUAUAAUGACUUGCCGUCGUACUCAGAGUCAUUUAAUAGUUACUAAACUCAGUCCUUAGCAAUAGGGAUGAUGACGGGGUAUGAAAAUUAAAUCUAUUAAGACCGUCAGUUAGGUAUUAAAAAAAUAUUAGACGUAUUUUUUUAUUUUGUCAUCAUUUCUACGUAUAAAAUGUACAUAGAAGUAACGUCACGUGAUAAUUCAAAACUAUGUCUUGAAAAGUAUUUGAAAUAAAAAAUACAUGUGUAAUAUUUUAAAAUUAUCUACAAGAUACGGAUAUUAAAAUUAAUCAUCUACCUUAUUGUUUUCGGAACAAAAUCGUUUCUAAGGAAUAGUUUAAGUAAUCAUUAAAUGUCUCUGGGUACGGCAGUUAGUUUCCAAACUAUAUUUUUUAUUAUUUUUGCCUGUCAGCACAGGCAAAGAUAGAAGAACUCAGUACGUACGUACUUUAAGCGAUUAUUUUAAAAGUAAAGCAAACUCAUACUAAGGGUACAGGUAAAUCUGGCCUGUAUAUUUUACCGAAAAACAGUAAGUUGCGUUACAAGGGGGAAAGAGGGGUCAAAACACCCCUUAGUAUAGGCAAGAUAUAUGUUUGAUACGAGUAUCUGUUCUCAUCUCUGUUUUAUAGGCAGCUGUGUCAGAAUUAUAGUGUCUAUUUUAACCCUUUAACCGCCAAGUUAAAUAUCAAUUACCAUGCCCCUAGCACGAGACUACAAAAUAAAGAAGAUAUAUAUACACUAAAUAAGGAUGAGCAAUCGUGUGAAUAGAACGUAACAAUCAUGCAUGUUCUCUGUCACAUCAAUACGACAUGAGCGGUAGGACAGGGAAAUUUGUGUCGCAUAUAUCCGACACAGGCGGUUAAAUGGUUCAAAGUCAAAGUCAAAAUUAUUUAUUUCAAUUAGACCAGGAAGGCAGUUUGUAACGUCAA